GAUGAAGAACGUAGCGAAAUGCGAUAAGUAAUGUGAAUUGCAGAAUUCAGUGAAUCAUCGAAUCUUUGAACGCACAUUGCGCCCUCUGGUAUUCCGGGGGGCAUGCCUGUUCGAGCGUCAUUAUAACCACUCAAGCUCUCGCUUGGUAUUGGGGUUCGCGGUUUCGCGGCCCCUAAAAUCAGUGGCGGUGCCUGUCGGCUCUACGCGUAGUAAUACUUCUCGCGAUUGAGUUCGAUCGGUCUACUUGCCAGUAACCCCCAAUUUUUACAGGUUGACCUCGGAUCAGGUAGGGAUACCCGCUGAACUUAAGCAUAUCAAUAAGCGGAGGA
rnacentral:misc_RNA from 1 species